AAAACUGCGCCACACGGCCCGCGGACAAUGGCGGGCGGCGGCCGCGCGUGCGCGGUCUUGCGUCCGCGCAGGCGCCGUUUGGCCGCUCAACGGCCGGGAGGCGUGGCCGGCGCGCGCCGGGGGGCGUGGCGAAUAUCUGGGCGUUGCCUGGUAUAAAAAGCCGCUCCCGGCGUUGCCGCCGCCAUUCUGAGGGCUGGUGGAGGUUUGGUUGGUCUUGAGAGACGCCGUCGCCUUUACCACGAGAGAAAAAACCAAUACAAACAAUACAAAAUACAAUACAAAACGCGAACAAAACAACAAAAUAUAUAAAUAUACAACAAAGAGGGGAAGGAAAAAACCAGGUUUUCUCUCCCCCUUUGCCGUGAAGAGCCGCCGCAGCCUCUCCGUCCUUUGGACCGUCCUUGGAAGCCGUUCCAAACCCGAAGGAAACUGCCACUUUAAAAAACAUAUUUCCCUCUUCUUUCCCCCAAAAAAACAAAGGCAAAACCCACUUUUUUUUCGAGCAGAAAAAAAAAAAAACCAAGCAACUUUU